rnacentral:rRNA from 1 species
GACGAACGCUGGCGGCGUGCCUAACACAUGCAAGUCGAACGGGGUCCAUGGGAGCUUGCUCCCGGAAGACCUAGUGGCGAACGGGUGAGUAACACGUGAGAAACCUGCCCUGGAGUGGGGAAUAACUCGGGGAAACUCGAGCUAAUACCGCAUACCCUCGGAUGGUCGCAUGGCCGACCGAGGAAAGAUUCAUCGCUUCAGGAGGGUCUCGCGGCCUAUCAGCUAGUUGGUGGGGUAACGGCCUACCAAGGCAACGACGGGUAGCUGGUUUGAGAGAACGAUCAGCCACACUGGGACUGAGACACGGCCCAGACUCCUACGGGAGGCAGCAGUGGGGAAUCUUGCGCAAUGGGCGAAAGCCUGACGCAGCCACGCCGCGUGAGCGAUGAAGGUCUUCGGAUCGUAAAGCUCUGUGGGGGGAGAAGAAGAAAGCCGGUGAAGAGCCGGCCCUGACGGUAUCCCCUUAGCAAGCACCGGCUAACUCCGUGCCAGCAGCCGCGGUAA